rnacentral:lncRNA from 1 species
UAUGUCAUCUUUUGUAUUUGAUGAUACUAGUUGUAUAAAUGAUGUAAGAAAGUAAAAAGCUUAUAUUUUGGAAGAAAUGUUAUAUACAUUUUGAGAUCAUGUGAUGUAAAAGAAAUGAUGAAAAGGAUGUAAAAGAAUUUAAAAGUUGAAUGCAUGUAUGUGGUUAAAAGUUAAUCAUUAUACUUGUAUGGUUGUAAUAGUUUAGAAU